rnacentral:misc_RNA from 1 species
ACCAGUUGCUAUAACCCCAUUGAAUGGGUUUACCUGCAUCACAUCAGUACGACCUAACCCAGUGCGGAAGGAACCGACCAUGCUACCAGUUGUUACAUCUUGAUAGUGAAGCUGUCCAAACUUGUUUAUUGAUGCCAAAAGGAAGUGAUUUUUCAGAAAUUGAAGCCUCAAGACUGAUCCAUGCUCCUUAAGGCAAUGAAGCUCUG